rnacentral:rRNA from 1 species
UGGGGAAUAUUGGACAAUGGGCGCAAGCCUGAUCCAGCAAUGCCGCGUGAGUGAUGAAGGCCUUCGGGUUGUAAAGCUCUUUCGCACGCGACGAUGAUGACGGUAGCGUGAGAAGAAGCCCCGGCUAACUUCGUGCCAGCAGCCGCGGUAAUACGAAGGGGGCUAGCGUUGUUCGGAAUUACUGGGCGUAAAGGGCGCGUAGGCGGUGUGUCAAGUCAGGCGUGAAAGCCCCGGGCUCAACCUGGGAACCGCGCUUGAGACUGGCACGCUCGAGUUCGGGAGAGGAUGGUGGAAUUCCCAGUGUAGAGGUGAAAUUCGUAGAUAUUGGGAAGAACACCGAUGGCGAAGGCAGCCAUCUGGACCGACGCUGACGCUGAGGCGCGAAAGCGUGGGGAGCAAACAGGAUUAGAUACCCUGGUAGUCCACGCCGUAAACGGUGAGUGCUAGACGUCGGGGCCCUCAGGGCUUCGGUGUCGCAGCUAACGCGUUAAG